UGGGGAGUAUUGGACAAUGGGCGAAAGCCUGAUCCAGCCAUGCCGCAUGAGUGAAGAAGGCCCUUGGGUUGUAAAGCUCUUUUAGUGAGGAAGAUAAUGACGGUACUCACAGAAGAAGUCCUGGCUAACUCCGUGCCAGCAGCCGCGGUAAUACGGAGAGGGCUAGCGUUAUUCGGAAUUAUUGGGCGUAAAGGGCGCGUAGGCUGGUUAGUAAGUUAAAAGUGAAAUCCCGAGGCUUAACCUUGGAACUGCUUUUAAAACUGCUAACCUAGAGAUUGAAAGAGGAUAGAGGAAUUCCUAGUGUAGAGGUGAAAUUCGUAAAUAUUAGGAGGAACACCAGUGGCGAAGGCGUCUAUCUGGUUCAAAUCUGACGCUGAGGCGCGAAGGCGUGGGGAGCAAACA
rnacentral:rRNA from 1 species